rnacentral:rRNA from 1 species
AACGAACGCUGGCGGCAUGCCUAACACAUGCAAGUCGAACGAGACCUUCGGGUCUAGUGGCGCACGGGUGCGUAACGCGUGGGAAACUGCCCUUAGGUUCGGAAUAACUCCCCGAAAGGGGUGCUAAUACCGGAUAAUGUCUUCGGACCAAAGAUUUAUCGCCUUUGGAUGGGCCCGCGUUGGAUUAGCUAGUUGGUAGGGUAAAAGCCUACCAAGGCGACGAUCCAUAGCUGGUCUGAGAGGAUGAUCAGCCACACUGGGACUGAGACACGGCCCAGACUCCUACGGGAGGCAGCAGUGGGGAAUAUUGGACAAUGGGCGAAAGCCUGAUCCAGCAAUGCCGCGUGAGUGAUGAAGGCCUUAGGGUUGUAAAGCUCUUUUACCCGGGAUGAUAAUGACAGUACCGGGAGAAUAAGCUCCGGCUAACUCCGUG